rnacentral:rRNA from 1 species
AUUGACCGCUGGCGGCAGGCCUAACACAUGCAAGUCGAACGAGCGGCGGACGGGUGAGUAAUGUAUGGGGACUGCCCGAUAGAGGGGGAUAACUACUGGAAACGGUAGCUAAUACCGCAUACUAUCGGAUAACCCAUAUGGGAUUAGCUAGUAGGGUAGGUAAUGGCUCACCUAGGCGACGAUCCCUAGCUGGUCUGAGAGGAUGAUCAGCAACACUGGUACUGAGACACGGCCCAGACUCCUACGGAGGCAGAAGUGGGGAAUAUUGCGCAAUGGGCGCAAGCCUGAUGCAGCAAUGCCGCGUGGAUGAAGAAGGCCCUAGGGUUGUAAAGUACUUUCAGUCGGGAGGCGUUACCGACAGAGGAAGCACCGGCUAACUCCGUGCCAGAAGCCGCGGUAAUUC